UACGUAGGGUGCGAGCGUUGUCCGGAAUUAUUGGGCGUAAAGAGCUCGUAGGCGGUGUGUCGCGUCGGCCGUGAAAACCUGGGGCUCAACUCUGGGCGUGCGGUCGAUACGGGCAUCACUUGAGUUCGGCAGGGGAGACUGGAAUUCCUGGUGUAGCGGUGAAAUGCGCAGAUAUCAGGAGGAACACCGGUGGCGAAGGCGGGUCUCUGGGCCGAUACUGACGCUGAUGCACGAAAGCUAGGGGAGCAAACAGG
rnacentral:rRNA from 1 species